UACGUAUGGAGCAAGCGUUGUCCGGAAUUAUUGGGCGUAAAGGGUACGUAGGCGGUUAUGUGGGUCUGUAUUUAAAGGCAUUGGCUCAACCAAUGUUCGGUAUGGAAACUGCAUAACUUGAGUAGAUGAGGGGUAAGUGGAAUUCCUAGUGUAGCGGUGAAAUGCUUAGAUAUUAGGAGGAAUACCAGUGGCGAAGGCGACUUACUAGAAUCUAACUGACGCUGAGGUACGAAAGCGUGGGGAGCAAACA
rnacentral:rRNA from 1 species